rnacentral:snRNA from 1 species
GUACUUUCUUCGGCAGCACAUAUACUAACUAAAAUUGGAAUGAUACAGAGAAGAUUAGCAUGGGCCCUGCGCAAGGAUGACAUGCAAAUCCGUGAAGAAUUCCAUAUUUUU